AUUGCCUCAGUAACGGCGAGUGAAGCGGCAAGAGCUCAAAUUUGAAAUCUGGCCCCUCCGGGGUCCGAGUUGUAAUUUGCAGAGGAUGCUUCGGGUGCGGCCCCUGUCUAAGUGCCCUGGAACGGGCCGUCAGAGAGGGUGAGAAUCCCGUCUUGGGCAGGGUGCCCGUGCCCGUGUGAAGCUCCUUCGACGAGUCGAGUUGUUUGGGAAUGCAGCUCUAAAUGGGUGGUAAAUUUCAUCUAAAGCUAAAUACCGGCCGGAGACCGAUAGCGCACAAGUAGAGUGAUCGAAAGAUGAAAAGCACUUUGAAAAGAGAGUUAAACAGCACGUGAAAUUGUUGAAAGGGAAGCGCUUGCGACCAGACUCGGCCCCGGGGUUCAGCCAGCACUCGUGCUGGUGUACUUCCCCGGGGGCGGGCCAGCGUCGGUUUGGGCGGCCGGUCAAAGGCCCCAGGAAUGUAUCAUCCUCCGGGAUUGUCUUAUAGCCUGGGGUGCAAUGCGGCCAGCCCGGACCGAGGAACGCGCUUCGGCACGGACGCUGGCGUAAUGGUCGCAAACGACCCGUCUUGAAACACGGACCAAGGAGUCUAACAUCUACGCGAGUGUUCGGGUGUCAAACCCGUACGCGCAGUGAAAGCGAACGGAGGUGGGAGCCUUUCGGGGCGCACCAUCGACCGAUCCUGAUGUCUUCGGAUGGAUUUGAGUAAGAGCGUAGCUGUGGGGACCCGAAAGAUGGUGAACUAUGCCUGAAUAGGGCGAAGCCAGAGGAAACUCUGGUGGAGGCUCGCAGCGGUUCUGACGUGCAAAUCGAUCGUCAAAUUUGGGUAUAGGGGCGAAAGACUAAUCGAACCAUCUGGUAGCUGGUUCCUGCCGA
rnacentral:rRNA from 1 species